CGGCGGACGGGUGAGUAACGCGUGGGUAACCUGCCUCAUACAGGGGGAUAACAGUUGGAAACGGCUGCUAAUACCGCAUAAGCGCACAGUACCGCAUGGUACGGCGUGAAAAACUCCGGUGGUAUGAGAUGGACCCGCGUCCGAUUAGCUAGUUGGUGGGGUAACGGCCUACCAAGGCGACGAUCAGUAGCCGACCUGAGAGGGUGACCGGCCACAUUGGGACUGAGACACGGCCCAA
rnacentral:rRNA from 1 species